rnacentral:rRNA from 1 species
GACGAACGCUGGCGGCGUGCCUAACACAUGCAAGUCGAACGGUCCGGCACUCAACCGACCCUCAGUCUAGCUGUAGGUGAGGUUAAGUGCCGGAUAGUGGCGGACGGGUGAGUAACGCGUGGGCAACCAACCCUGUACAGUGGGAUAACACCGGGAAACCGGUGCUAAUACCGCAUGACACCUAGAUGGUGCAUACUGUUUAGGUUAAAGGGCAAAACCGGUACGGGACGGGCCCGCGUCCCAUUAGCUAGUUGGUGAGGUAACGGCUCACCAAGGCGACGAUGGGUAGCCGACCUGAGAGGGUGACCGGCCACACUGGGACUGAGACACGGCCCAGACUCCUACGGGAGGCAGCAGUGGGGAAUAUUGCGCAAUGGACGGAAGUCUGACGCAGCGACGCCGCGUGAGCGACGAAGGCCUUCGGGUCGUAAAGGCUCUGUUCUUGGGGACGAAGUAAAAUGACGGUACCCAAGGAGAAAGCCCCGGACUAACUACGUGCCAGCAGCGCGGUAAGAUAGCGUACU